CAGCCGCCACGGUAAUACGAAGGGGGCUAGCGUUGCUCGGAAUGACUGGGCGUAAAGGGCGCGUAGGCGGAUUGCGCAGUCAGAUGUGAAAUCCCCGGGCUCAACCUGGGAACUGCAUUUGUGACUGGCAAGCUAGAGUCUGGCAGAGGGGGGUGGAAUUCCGCGUGUAGCAGUGAAAUGCGUAGAUAUGCGGAGGAACACCGAUGGCGAAGGCAGCCCCCUGGGCCAACACUGACGCUCAUGCACGAAAGCGUGGGGAGCAAACAGGAUUAGAUACCCCCGUAGUCCCUGUCUCUUAUAC
rnacentral:rRNA from 1 species